GCCUGGCUGGCUCAGUGAGCAUGUGACUCUUGAUCUUGGGGCUGUGAGUUCGAGCCCCACGUUGGGCC
rnacentral:tRNA from 1 species